rnacentral:tRNA from 2 species
UGAGGGGUGGUCGAGUGGGUGAUGGCUCCGGUCUUGAAAACCGGCGAAGGGAAGCGGGAGCCUUCGCCGGCUUCGAAUCCCACCCCCUCCG